UGAGGAAUAUUGCGCAAUGGGGGCAACCCUGACGCAGCAACGCCGCGUGAGUGAGGAAGGUUUUCGGACCGUAAAGCUCUGUCGAGCGGGAAGAAAUGUAUCGUGGCUAAUAUCCAUGAUAUUUGACGGUACCGCUAAAGGAAGCACCGGCUAACUCCGUGCCAGCAGCCGCGGUCAUACGGGGGGGGCAAGCGUUGUUCGGAAUUAUUGGGCGUAAAGAGCGCGUAGGCGGCUGAAUAAGUCAGAUGUGAAAUCCCUGGGCUUAACGCAGGAAGUGCAUUUGAAACUAUUCGGCUUGAGUAGGGGAGAGGAAAGUGGAAUUCCUGGUGUAGAGGUGAAAUUCGUAGAUAUCAGGAGGAACACCGGUGGCGAAGGCGACUUUCUGGCCCUAUACUGACGCUGAGACACGAGAGCGUGGGUAGCAAACA
rnacentral:rRNA from 1 species